CAGUUUUACACAGUUCGAACUCUUGGCUAUAUUUGGUGUUGCAUUUGGUUAACUGUAACACUGUGAAGAUAUAAUUCGAAAGAAGUUAGUGUUUCUUUAGUUGUCACAUGAAAUUUUUUAAUACGUAAUAGUAUUUUCAUGACAAAUGAAAUUUAUCAACUAAAGUGAACGACAUCCUGAUUUCACUUGAAAUGUCGAGUUUACUAAAAAUUUUUUUAGCAGAUUGCUACAUCAUAUGGGGAAAAAAAGGCACACAGAAUUUGUGCAUUUACUUAAAGCACAAAUAGUUCAUCUUUAUUGUCGAAGUACGUGGCAACCUCUGCAUAUGUUUCUAUUGUUCAAGCACUGUAGUACGGGUAAGAAGACUGUCUAUAACAUUAACACCUCAACUCAAGCUUAUGGAUGAACUCUAUCAAAUAGCUCAAAACAUGAAGCCUUGUAAAUACCCAUGGCACAAGUUUAUUCACUUCACAUAAUUUUGGGUCUAAAAUGCACCAUAUUUGAAUAAGUUACUAAAGAGUGCUACUUUUUUUAAAGAGAAAAGGUCAACAGAGCUAAAUAAAAAACAAAUUCAUAUCAUGUUUACUACAUCUACUCUAGACUUGAUACUCUUAAUCUCCUGCUUUAGCACAUGAAAUAGAAAACAACUAAUUGAGUGGUUUCCAAACACUUCCCCACAACUAAGUUCCCAAGAGGGAUAUUAUACCAUGUCCAAGUUUAUUAUCCAAAUUUGUAAACUACUCUAAUCUUAUGUAGGGGGAUGGAUGGUGUGGAAAAAGGCUUAGUAGACAAAGUCACUUCACCAACAAAUAGCUAUGCCAUUUCAAAAAAUAGCCAAUAUCUCAUUGAAUAUAGAGAAAUAUAAUACGAAAGAAAGGCAUGCAUAACAACCAACCUUUCAGAUGAACCGGGAGAAGGAACAACAACAUUGCUUUUCCCUAAGAACCUAACAUCAAUAAUUAUGUUGCUCGAGCUCUUAAAAAAUAUAGUAAAUUAAGUAUUGAAAGGCCAACCAAUCCCUACCAACAUCAUAUCCUCCAAAUGAAAAAACCACCAAGAUUUAUGUGGGUUUGCAUGUGAGUGUCUAAAGAGGGAACAUAAAGUACUUACGGGGGUAUGGAUGGACCAAGAGCUAGUUCAUUUCCAGUUCUAUAGUCUCUUGUAUUUUCAGGACCUGGCAAGAAAAACUAAAUGUAUAUCACAAAUGAGAGGAAAAAAUAAUUCGAAAAAUCGCUAUGGCGGGUUCCAAAUUCCAGCAAUAUUAGUCCAUCUAUGAUGAUGCCUCAAAGAUUAAAGUUGUGAUUUCUCAUAAUAUGUUUCUCUCUCUUUUAACACUCUCCAAAAUGCAUACUUUAACAAUUGUAGCAAUAUUUAUUUACUGAACUACAAAUGUAUAAUGCUAAGAAUAAGUAGCAAUGCACCAUGUGCAUUCGUGAGAAUUUCACAAGAAGAUACUGCUAACCAAGUUUGCAACACAAUUUAUGUACAAAGAGUACCUCUUCCAUAAGAUUUAUUUCUAUAGAGAAGAGUGAAACCACACUUCUUGCAAAUGAAAGAAAAUUACAGUUGAAGAUACUAAAAACAGUAUAUGAGAUGAUUGCCAGGAAGGAAAGAAUCGUGCAGAGCAAGAUCCAGAUUUCCGUUUUCACAUGCUAUAGGGUCAUGGAUGGUGAUUAAUUUUGUUCCAUCUGGAAAGAUCCCCUCUACCUAAAUUACAUUACGACUGAAUAGUCACCAGCUACCUUGAACUGCAGAUGAACAUGACAAAAAGAAUCAUCAAAGACAGAGAAAAUGGGGCAUCCGUAGUACCUGAACACAAUCCAACAGUUGGAAGAUCGAACUUGUCUCCUGAAAACCAAAAAGUUAAUUGUAAUCCCACUGAUCUUCGUCAAAAGCAUCAAGUCAUUCAAAUAAUUAUAUUCUUUGAGGCAUUUCGGUCCACUCAAAUUGAUUUCACCUACGAUCGAGUAACAUCAGUACUCACGAUGCACUCUUUACAUCAUCCAUAUUUAUUAAUUGAUUCCCUUCUUCCAUUUUCUAGGUGCAUGACUUUUUCACUUCCUCGUGCCAAGGCAGUCAUAUUCUUUACAAUUAUACAUUUCCCUUUAUGAUUUCUUCCUUCUAUUCACAGAAGACAGUAAGCAGGUUUAUUACAGGAAGAAUUUCAAUAAUCCAUUCACAAUAUAGAAGGGAAAAGAAGGCAGCUGCAAAAUCAACUAUCGCAAAUUGACCAAGUCAUAUACCCAAAUUACUUACUUACAGAAAGUGAUGAUCGAUGCUCUCGUUGGUAUAGCUUUUAUAUAUCCGAGAGAAUCUGUUUCUGGUCACUGUAAACACAGGGGAUCAGUUCCUAACAAUUAACACCGGGACUCACAAAUCUGAAAUGAAAUGUCAAUGACUCCAAAUAUACAUAACAAUCUAGCAUAACCAAACCAUUGACAAGCAUUAGACUUGAACAACAGGAAUACACAUUGCUUGCAUUCUUUCUAGUGUGCUAUUGAGGUGUGACCGAAUUAAGAUUUUAAUUAAUUUGAAUAAUAUUGAGAGUAAAAUCUAAUUGAUCAAAGCUAGAGUUGUCUUUCUAACUAAAUUAAGUAAUAUGUCAGAUCAUGGAACGUUUCAUGAAACUGGUGGUGCUAUGUACGUUAAGAAUGAAUAAUGUUCUCUAUAAGUGUUGACUCAAAGAAAAAGGGAAGAGAAUUAGAAAAAUGAGUUUCUCCAUUCCAAUUCAGGUAUGACAUGACCCAUCCUGGUUCCAGCUCGGUUUCAGGCUUGGCCAAUUCAAACUAAAAACAUGUGCAGACCUGAUGAACCAAUUUUAGUAUUUAAGUGGAAACGAAUAGCAUUGAAGCAGUAGACUAUAUUAUUCAUUGAGUUUAGAAGCUGACUAUAUACACUAUAAAGGCGAUGUAAAGAGACUCUGUACGUAAAACAAACGCAAAAUUGCACAAAAUUUCAAUGCUUAAGUGUGGUUUUGUACACACAAAUGGAGUUCCUAUAUUGUCCGCAUAUUUACAAACACAGAAAAUGGAGCUAUAAACUGACCCCAAAAUAGAAAAUUAAAAAAGAACUCUUGUCUCUAAGGUAAGAGAUGCAGAAAUCCACAAAAAAUCUGCAAAUUGAGAAAUGCCUAUAUAUCGGGAUUAAAAAAAAGGAUAUUUACAAUGGAAACGAACCAAUUGCGAUGUGUUGACAUCAAUUUUCAUCUUUUUCCUCUGUUUUUCUUAAUCUUUUCGAUCAUUAUCCUAAUUAUAUCCACAUCCAAGCUUAACUAUUUGAAGCAAACACAAGAAGGAAACAUGAGAAGAAACAACGUGUGUCUAGUUUGUGUUGGAAAGAGUUGGGUUAGCUAAAGUUUUUCAUCAGUCUCAAUUUUCAGCUCCUUUUUAUCUCAUGCGAGAUAAUUAUUCCGCAAUUAUUUGGGUUUUUCAUUUCCUAACUUUGCUUUCUACUGUUUGCUUUUGCAAUUUGUUUGCAUUCCACUAAUUAUAUUUUUAUUCGAUAUUCUGAUUUUUUUGUUUGGACCAUUGUUUUCUGAUGGGUAUUAUUUUUCUCGUCUUGUGUUUCUCUGUUAAUUUCAUGCUAUGUAUUUUUGCGUUCGAUUGAGAGUAUAGGAUAGCAAGAUAAAGCUCAAAAAUACACACAAGCAAGCUUCAAAAUCCAGAAAAGUCCAAAGUUAAGAAAAGAGUAGGUAAGAAGAUGGAAAAAAAAUCCAAAAUUGAAGAAACUCAAACCCACCACAGAGUAGAGGGGAAAACAGGAGGGGUCAAGAGGUGCCAAAAAAAUUGUUGGAUACAAAGAAAGCACCAAAUAUUGCAAAAUCAAACAGAAGCAGAGUUAAGAAAUCAAAAUCAAUACAAAUGUAAAGUAUGCUCACCUGGACACAACUAUGAAGUCGACAAAAGUGCAAAGAGAAGAACAGGAGAGAGCAGAUGGUGACACUUGGUGGUCAGCAAUGGAGGUGACGUUAGGAUUGAUGAGGAAAUUGAAUGAAAGGUGUC
rnacentral:lncRNA from 1 species